AUGUGGCCUUGUGGAGCGGACGAUUCAUGGCAGCACUCUCUCCUUCACUGUAACAUGGCAAGAUGCAUAUGGGCGCUGGAAGACCCGGACCUUGCUGAUGUUUUUCACGACGUAAGGGAACCGGAAGCCAAAAGGUGGAUAUUUACACUAAUUGACAGCCUGCAACAUGAUGAUUUCGUCAGGGUUAUGGUGACAUUGUGGGCUAUCUGAUACGCCCGAAGAAAGGGGACACAAGCUCCACCAGCGGCAAGGGCACCCCGCCCGUGCAGAACGCCUCCGGCAGCAGGAUUUGCUAAGAUCAAAGUGGACGGAGCUACUUCCAGGAGUUCAAACGGAGGAUCUUUUAGUGCCGUGUGCAGGGAUGAAACAGGGAAGUUCAUGGGCGCGUCAGCUAUCAGAUGCGUUGGCAUAACUGACCUAGCAGCUUUGGAGGCGCUAGCCUGCCGAGAAGCCCUUUCAUUGGCCCAGGAUCUUUCUCUAACACAUGUGAUGAUAGCAUCAGACUGCCAAGAGGUUGUUACAAAUAUCAAAAUCGAUGCAGGAGGCUUGUAUGGCAGCAUCGUGAAGGAGAUCAAAUCAACUUCAGCUCAGUUCACGUCUUGUACUUUCAUUUUCGAGGGACUUGAGUCUAAUAUUGAGGCACAUAGCCUCGCUAAGCACACUCUAGGACUUUCUUUAGGACGCCAUUUGUGGCUCCUCGAACCUCCAGACCGUAAUUGUAUCCCAAUGUAUUUGGACUAUGAUCAUUAA
rnacentral:rRNA from 1 species